CUAAACGGCCCUAAACCGUUUCCCAUUCAUUCUCAAUGGUAGUGCUAAACCACUACGGAUGCAAUAUACUUUCGGCCGCUAGCGCUCUCGUGGCGCUCUUCCGUGUUUCGGCACCGCGGGAAGUUUGAAUUCGCAGAAGAAGACGACUGUUUAAUUCAACGCAUUCUCAGCGCAUCUGUCAAAGAGACCACUGUUUCUACACUGCUGUCAUCUUCUCCUGGUACCCAUGCAGAUCCUCAGUCAGAUGCAGGAAGUACAUAUACACCACCUCUGCCUCUGCUGGCCUCACCUGAGACCCCCUGGUCCUGUGAAGACUGGUGGCAGGGUGUAUGUACUGGAGCACAAACACAGAGCCAAUUGACAACUUGCUUAAACACUGUGGGAAGAAGCACAUCCUCAGGAGCAUGCAGCAGUGCUCCACAAUUCCUCUACUGAUCCAAACAGCAUGCUCCAUUCGACCACAAAACUGCACAUUUCACAGUAUGUCAAGCACCUGGCCAAACUGCAGAACACCAGUUCUUCAUUAAACAACUCCAGAGAAACGUCUUGAAAGCGGGCAGUAAAACAACCAGUGUGCCAGUGGUUAUAAUGAAGCCUGCGGAUGUAAAACCACCAGCACCUGCUCUGACCACACUCCUAACUCAUGAGACCAUUGAGACAAUUGUGUUAUGGAGCGGCAGCAGCAACCUGAGCAGGAGAAGACUUGUCUUGCUUGUGGACAGCCAAAGAUGGUUCCUCUAUCCACUUUUUCCUUAAUCAGCAAGAUCCUGUCAGGUACUUCUACUGUUCCACAAAGGUUUUUAAUGCUUACAGUGAUUAAGAACUAACACACCCCAGAGUUAUUUAAGAGUGAACUUGAGGACACAAAGAAACGGGUGCAGGAGAAAGGACAGCAAAAACACAAAAGGCCUGAAACUGAACACGUUAGUCGCUUGUGCAGAUUUUGUAAAAUGGAGCUGAAGCAGGGUCCAAAC